UGCCAGCCGCCGCGGUAAUACGGAGGGUGCGAGCGUUAAUCGGAUUUAUUGGGCGUAAAGCGCGCGUAGGCGGAACAGUAAGCCAGUUGUGAAAGCCCGGAGCUCAACUCCGGAAUUGCAUUUGGAACUACUGAUCUAGAGGAUAGGUGGAGAAAACGGAAUUCCACGUGUAGCGGUGAAAUGCGUAGAUAUGUGGAAGAACACCGGUGGCGAAGGCGGUUUUCUAACUUAUUCCUGACGCUCAGGCGCGAAAGCUAGGGGAGCAAACCGGAUUAGAUA
rnacentral:rRNA from 1 species